rnacentral:tRNA from 1 species
GCAGGUGUGGUGAAAUUGGUAUACACGCCAGCCUUAGGAGCUGGUGUCGCAAGACAUGAGGGUUCGAGUCCCUCCACCUGCACAA